UACGUAGGGUGCAAGCGUUAAUCGGAAUUACUGGGCGUAAAGCGUGUGCAGGCGGUUGUGCAAGACAGAUGUGAAAUCCCCGGGCUUAACCUGGGAACUGCAUUUGUGACUGCACGGCUAGAGUGUGUCAGAGGGGGGUAGAAUUCCACGUGUAGCAGUGAAAUGCGUAGAUAUGUGGAGGAAUACCGAUGGCGAAGGCAGCCCCCUGGGAUAACACUGACGCUCAUGCACGAAAGCGUGGGGAGCAAACAGG
rnacentral:rRNA from 1 species